AGUGAACGCUGGCGGUAGGCCUAGCACAUGCAAGUCGAACGGCAGCACAGUAAGAGUUUGCUCUUACGGGUGGCGAGUGGCGGACGGGUGAGGAAUACAUCGGAAUCUACUUUUUCGUGGGGGAUAACGUAGGGAAACUUACGCUAAUACCGCAUACGAUCUACGGGUGAAAGCAGGGGAUCUUCGGACCUUGCGCGAUUGAAUGAGCCGAUGUCGGAUUAGCUAGUUGGCUGGGUAAAGGCCCACCAAGGCGACGAUCCGUAGCUGGUCUGAGAGGAUGAUCAGCCACACUGGAACUGAGACACGGUCCAGACUCCUACGGGAGGCAGCAGUGGGGAAUAUUGGACAAUGGGCGAAAGCCUGAUCCAGCCAUACCGCGUGGGUGAAGAAGGCCUUCGGGUUGUAAAGCCCUUUUGUUGGGAAAGAAAAGCAGCAGGUUAAUACCCCGCUGUUCUGACGGUACCCAAACAAUAAGCACCGGCUAACUUCGUG
rnacentral:rRNA from 1 species